UCGGGGGUCGGCUAACGGUAGGCUGCCUCGCUUUGAACGAGGCGAUGAAGGUUCGAUUCCUUCUCCCCGAA
rnacentral:tRNA from 1 species